CUUAUUCUGAUUUCUUCGGAAUGAAAAAUUUGGUGACUGAGUGGCGGACGGGUGAGUAACGCGUGGGUAACCUGCCUCAUACAGGGGGAUAACAGUUAGAAAUGACUGCUAAUACCGCAUAAGACCACAGCACCGCAUGGUGCAGGGGUAAAAACUCCGGUGGUAUGAGAUGGACCCGCGUCUGAUUAGGUAGUUGGUGGGGUAACGGCCUACCAAGCCGACGAUCAGUAGCCGACCUGAGAGGGUGACCGGCCACAUUGGGACUGAGACACGGCCCAAACUCCUACGGGAGGCAGCAGUGGGGAAUAUUGCACAAUGGGGGAAACCCUGAUGCAGCGACGCCGCGUGAGCGAUGAAGUAUUUCGGUAUGUAAAGCUCUAUCAGCAGGGAAGAAAAUGACGGUACCUGACUAAGAAGCACCGGCUAAAUACGUGCCAGCAGCCGCGGUAAUACGUAUGGUGCAAGCGUUAUCCGGAUUUACUGGGUGUAAAGGGAGCGUAGACGGAGUGGCAAGUCUGAUGUGAAAACCCGGGGCUCAACCCCGGGACUGCAUUGGAAACUGUCAAUCUAGAGUACCGGAGAGGUAAGCGGAAUUCCUAGUGUAGCGGUGAAAUGCGUAGAUAUUAGGAGGAACACCAGUGGCGAAGGCGGCUUACUGGACGGUAACUGACGUUGAGGCUCGAAAGCGUGNGGAGCAAACAGGAUUAGAUACCCUGGUAGUCNACGCCGUAAACGAUGACUACU
rnacentral:rRNA from 1 species